AAGUCGUAACAAGGUUUCCGUAGGUGAACCUGCGGAAGGAUCAUUAUCGUUUAGCUUAGUAUGCAAAUACUAAAAGCGCAUGCACUCAUGUGUUGCGUAAAAAUGCACAACGGCACAUGCCUCGUCAUGUGUCGUUCAAACAAACCCAUGCUCGCUCGAGCCUGGUCGGGUACCUAUGUACGCAAGUACGUAAGCGGCAGACGCGCGUCUGCCGUGUGGUGUAAAGAUUAUUCGAGGCCAAUGUCGAAUAACGCCCGCUUAGCCAAACUUUUUAUACCAAAUUAAUCACACUUAUUAUGUUGUAUGUGUAACGCACUAUCUUGUAUCUACGUAUGAGAUAAUAACACAAAUACAACCCUAUGCGGUGGAUCAUUUGGCUC
rnacentral:misc_RNA from 1 species